GAGAAAAACUUCUAAUGUAUGUGACCUCAUAGGUUCGAACAUUAAUGAUAGAGUUCAAGUCUAGUAGGACUCUUCUCUAAAGUCUCCGUCCAGUGGGACUCUUCACCAGAGUCUCCGUUGAUUGGGACAUUUCUGAUUAGCCAUGUGAUCGGAGAGAAACUUCUAAUGUAUGUGACCCUAUAGGUUCGAACCUAAGUCGAUAGUACAAGAACUGAUUCCUGUACUAAUCGGAG
rnacentral:lncRNA from 1 species